CUACGGGUGGCAGCAGUGGGGAAUAUUGGACAAGGGGCGAAAGCCGGAUCCAGCCAUGCCGCGUGUGUGAAGAAGGCCUUCGGGUUGUAAAGCACUUUCAGUGGGGAAGAAAGCCUUGGGGCUAAUACCCUCGAGGAAGGACAUCACCCACAGAAGAAGCACCGGCUAACUCCGUGCCAGCAGCCGCGGUAAUACGGAGGGUGCGAGCGUUAAUCGGAAUUACUGGGCGUAAAGCGCGCGUAGGCGGUCUGAUAAGCCGGUUGUGAAAGCCCCGGGCUCAACCUGGGAACGGCAUCCGGAACUGUCAGGCUAGAGUGCAGGAGAGGAAGGUAGAAUUCCCGGUGUAGCGGUGAAAUGCGUAGAGAUCGGGAGGAAUACCAGUGGCGAAGGCGGCCUUCUGGACUGACACUGACGCUGAGGUGCGAAAGCGUGGGUAGCAAACAGGAUUAGAUACCCUGGUAGUC
rnacentral:rRNA from 1 species